rnacentral:rRNA from 1 species
GAUGAACGCUGGCGGCGUGCCUAAUACAUGCAAGUCGAGCGAACAGACGAGGAGCUUGCUCCUCUGACGUUAGCGGCGGACGGGUGAGUAACACGUGGAUAGCCUACCUAUAAGACUGGGAUAACUUCGGGAAACCGGAGCUAAUACCGGAUAAUAUAUUGAACCACAUGGUUCAAUAGUGAAAGACGGUUUUGCUGUCACUUAUAGAUGGAUCCGCGCCGCAUUAGCUAGUUGGUAAGGUAACGGCUUACCAAGGCAACGAUGCGUAGCCGACCUGAGAGGGUGAUCGGCCACACUGGAACUGAGACACGGUCCAGACUCCUACGGGAGGCAGCAGUAGGGAAUCUUCCGCAAUGGGCGAAAGCCUGACGGAGCAACGCCGCGUGAGUGAUGAAGGUCUUCGGAUCGUAAAACUCUGUUAUUAGGGAAGAACAAAUGUGUAAGUAACUAUGCACGUCUUGACAGUACCUAAUCAGAAAGCCACGGCUAACUACGUG